rnacentral:tRNA from 1 species
CUGGGUGUAGCGCAGUCUGGUAGCGUACCUGACUUGGAAUCAGGUGGUCGGUGGUUCAAAUCCACCCACCCAGACCA